GGAAGAGUAUGAUAUAAGUAAAAAUUUUAAUUAGUUGUGUUUUCCAUGUCGACAUCUAUGUAUUAUAGAGCAGCCACGUCUAUAAGGGUUGGCAGGAAUAGGUUUUGUGUCAUUAUUUUCAUUGAAAAGUUUGCGUCCGAUCAGCGCAUACAUGUUGUUGUGUAUGUUUUCUUGAUCAUCUAGUUUGCCAUGGUUGAAUGCAAGCAUGCUAAGGAGAAGAAAACAAAAGAACCAAAUCUUCAUGUUGGAAUUUGGUUGUGCCAUGAAACCUCAAAUGCCGUCUUUGAUUCUUUAAGACAGGAAUAUUGUUG
rnacentral:lncRNA from 1 species